GCAUAAUAAUGACACAUAAAUGAGAAUCUUUACUGGAGUAAUUAGAAUUAGUUGAAAUUAGUGCUUACAGUGCUUACUGAUGUUGGUUUGUGACUCUUUGGGCUCUAGUGUGUACGGAAAUUUAGCACUGAUCGUCAUAAAACAUUUCUGUAAUAAUUAUUAAGCAGCAUGAUUAGAUUAUUGGGACCAAUAAUUUUGAUUCUGCAUUGUCAAAUUUGUUUUUAGGGGUCGCAGCAAUCGUCUGUUAUGAAUGCACAACAUCAUCGCCCAGUACGCCACAACAUUUAUGCCCCAGUAAAUACAAUGAACAGCAGAACAUCAGCGCUCUUCCCAAGACAACCUGCACUCGCACAAAUUAUUGUGCUGAAGUAUCCUACCAGACCGAAAGCGAAAAAAGGUUUAAGGGAAAGAACUGCCUUGGUUCGAACGGUGUGGCGGACGGUGAAAUGGAUAAUCCAACCCCAGGAUGCAAAGUGAGCGAUCUUGGUCACGUACGAUAUGUCUACUGUUUGUGCAAUACUGAUUUGUGCAACAAUCGAACAUUGUCUGAGCUACUCGUUGCGCGAUCAUCUUACAACACAUUGUACCCUUUAUUGCCGUUUUUACCUCUCUUUUUAGCAAAGCUGCUCUGACCGUAGAAUAAUGGCAUGUAUAUAUUGACCAAAUCUGGUUUAGAUCAAGAUACACUGCUUUAACACGUACUGUGGAAGAAGCCUGCAGAGUAAAAAAUUGCGAACAAUCACAAUCCCGGUCCAAGACUUC